GCCAUAUCCCCUAAGGGAGUAAAUACGUCAGUACCAAAAUACAAAUGCUCACCGCAAGAAACUUUUUGUAAUCGAGACACGUCCUGCGCGCUCAACGUUUUACUAACAGCAGCUUUAUCAAACUUGGAAUUAUUCAAGGUGUAUCCAGAAGAGCCUAACUUUGGGUCGGUUUCUACUUCUUUGCUAAACCCGGAUAUGUGGUCGGGAUGCAUUCCAUUUCGGGGCCUUAGCUGCCAAGGAUAAAUGCCACCAGAUUGUUCCAUACAAAUGGGACAUGUAAAUUUGCUCACACUGUCUGCAAUUUCAUUGUUUAAACCAACACAAUCAUAAUGAAAUCGACGCUCGCAUAUUGUACAGUCAAUGAAAGAAUCACGAGGCGAAAACUCCUCCCCGCAAAGGCAGCUUGAAUUCUUCUCCUUUACUAACGUUACGAAUGCAGGAGAUCCCAGUUUCCAAUUUUUCAUCAGUGAAACAUGACUUUCAUUCUUAUUGUUGGCAUCUGAAAUAUUCGUACCAUUUUUCUUGGGGGAUUUCUCAGACUUCGAUUUCGUUUCAGCCUCUACCGCUUUCACAUUAUUAGAGGAUUUCUUUUCAUUAGAAGAUUUCGGAGGUGCAAUUGCCGAAGCUGGUAACAAACCUUCAGCAACUUGUUUCAUAAUUUGGCGUUGACGCUUAGUAGGCCUCGGUUUCCUUGUUGACUUUGACUCUCCAAUGAUUGGUGGUGGAUUUGGGGCUAUAGGAACACAUUCAUGGAGUUUUUGUCGAAAUAAGUUAGUUUCAUCUACUAACAAAAUUUCUGCUCCUUCCAUUUUUCUCAAGUAAAACCUGGCCAAAGGUACUUCGGCCAUGGUAAGGCCAAAAGGGUUAUGAGCUAAAGCUUGCAUUUCUUGACGAAAUUUUGAAGCCAAAUCCACUACUUUCCUCAGAGUCUCAGUUUCUUUUGGCUGAAAGGGUAAUAAUUUGACAUCUUUAUAUAAAGAUUGUAAAUCUUCUAGCUUAGGCCUAUUGGAUAAUCGAGGAAUUUCAACUCUAUAAUCACAUAUAGGGCACGUGAACUUUUCAUCCUGUCUCAGCUUUUUCUUUGACAUUUUCAAACAUUUAGCAUGAUACCAUUCAUGACAAAUUUCACAUUCUAUCAUUACGCCGCUCUCUGGAAGUCGGCAAAAACAAAAAAUACAUCCCUUUUUUUUCCUAAUUGUUAGUCUUCCCUCUGAAUCGGGACUUGUUUCCCUAGAUGCUGGUUCCAUAGGUGGACCAGGUCGAUCGUUAAGAGAAAGCGAUGCAGAAUUACGCUUUUCCACAUAAUCUAAAUGUUGGCCAAGGAUCUCUAAAGGUGCGUUUGCCUUUCCAAAUAAUCUUUUUCCGCGUCUGAUCCAUUCGAGAACCACAUCAUACAUCUUCUGUAAAGUAACAGUACUUUCAGAAAGUAUUGGAAGUUUCUCAGCACUUGCCAAGGCCUCUUUUACUUCGUCUAUACUUGGUCUUAAUGCAAAAUCUUUUUCCUGUGACCUUUCACACAAUGUAGCAAUUUUGUUUUUAAUUUCCUCAGCAUUGUUUAAAAUCCCCACAACCUUACUAAAUAACUCUUUAUUCACACACAAAUUCAUGGCUUCGUCCCUCAAUAAACUGAGUUUAUCGUACGAUAUAUUACUUUUUGAAAGAGUGUCAUAGACUUGGUUUUCCCAUAUCUCGGCUCUACCUUUCAUUGCUUUUGCAAAUAUCAUAUAAUCAUUAUCUUCGGGUAUGCCCGCAGAUACGCCAUAUGUAAUUAAACGUUCCAAGUCUGAAUCAGUGGUACGCGUUGUUUCAAACGAGUAAAACAUAUCUAGCCAUUCAAAUUGUAUUAAAUAUUUUUGAAUGAUACCCAAUUCUGGGAUAGUAAAUCCAAGUAGUUCAGCUUCAGUCAAUAGUCUUUGGCAUGUGUUUUUAUCCAAAGGGCCGGAAAAAGAG